GUGAGGAAUAUUGGUCAAUGGGCGGGAGCCUGAACCAGCCAAGUCGCGUGAAGGAAGAAGGAUCUAUGGUUCGUAAACUUCUUUUGCAGGGGAAUAAAGUGCAGGACGUGUCCUGUUUUGUAUGUACCCUGAGAAUAAGAAUCGGCUAACUCCGUGCCAGCAGCCGCGGUAUUACGGAGGAUCCGAGCGUUAUCCGGAUUUAUUGGGUUUAAAGGGUGCGUAGGUGGUUUGAUAAGUCAGCGGUGAAAGUUUGCAGCUUAACUGUAAAAAUGCCGUUGAAACUGUCGGACUUGAGUGUAAAUGAGGUAGGCGGAAUGCGUGGUGUAGCGGUGAAAUGCAUAGAUAUCACGCAGAACUCCGAUUGCGAAGGCAGCUUACUAAGCUACAACUGACACUGAAGCACGAAAGCGUGGGGAUCAAACAGGAUUAGAUACCCGUGUAGUCC
rnacentral:rRNA from 1 species